UACAGAGGGUGCAAACGUUGCUCGGAAUUAUUGGGCGUAAAGCGCACGUAGGCGGUUCGUUAUGUCGGAUGUGAAAGCCCUUGGCUUAACCGAGGAAGUGCAUCCGAAACUGGCGAGCUAGAGUACGAAAGAGGAUCGCGGAAUUCCCGGUGUAGAGGUGAAAUUCGUAGAUAUCGGGAGGAACACCGGUGGCGAAGGCGGCGAUCUGGGUCGAUACUGACGCUGAGGUGCGAAAGCGUGGGGAGCAAACAGG
rnacentral:rRNA from 1 species